rnacentral:lncRNA from 1 species
CUGGAAUUUAGCAGAACAAGUAUCCAGUGUGGGGUCACAGAGAUUCCGUUUGCCCCGCCCCCUCAUUAGCUGUGUGAACUCAGGCAAUUUGCUUAAUUCUCUGAACUUUGGAGUCAUCUGUUGCAAAAUAGGGAUACUUAUAACCAACUUCUAAAAUUGCUAAUAUAUAUGAAGCACUGGACAUUCUGUCUUCACAUAGUAGGCAGCCAAGCAUAAUCCUCAAUGCCAUAACUCUUCGCUUUGAUAACUCCUUCUCCCACUUGUCUGCAAAGUGCUGCUUUACUGGCCUCAUCCCAGCAUCCACUGUAUCCCGCGGACGUGUCUCCUUCCUCUGAAUGUCAACGGAUUCAGUGCCUUCACCACUCACUUUGGGCUGAGAAUAUCUAAAGCUCACAGUACUAAUUAUGUCACUAUCAAGAGAAGCCUUAACCAAUCAGCCAAGUUUCCAGCAAGCAAUUUCUAGGAACUGCACGGUUCAAUUUGCAUAGAGACAAAAAGAAUGAAGAAAGACAAUUUGGAGAAGAACUGUUUUCAGCAAUAAUCCUACAUAUGAGAGUUUGGUGGACAAUGUACCUGCUCAAUUUGCUUCUUAAAAAUUCUCUCUGCUGAUUCAGCUGCAUCAGAGUGGAAGUUAGUAAACAACAGCAUGACGGUCCUCCUUGGAGACUCUUCCUGCUUGCAAAAGUUACACAAAAUAUUUUUCAAUACUUUGUAAUAAAGUGGGAUACAGGCAGAGCAAAUUCCCACAAUUCGUCAAAUAUAGUCAUUAAAAUUGUAAUAAGAUCUUGAGAUUUCCCAAUUCUUGGAAUGCAAAAAGCUAC